AUUGAACGCUGGCGGCAUGCUUUACACAUGCAAGUCGAACGGUAACAGGCCGCAAGGUGCUGACGAGUGGCGAACGGUUGAUUAAUGCAUCGGAACGUGCCCAGUCGUGGGGUAUAACUACUCGAAAGAGUAGCUAAUACCGCAUACGAUCUAUGGAUGAAAUCGGGGGACCGUAAGGCCUCUCGCGAUUGGAGCGGCCGAUGUCAGAUUAGGUAGUUGGUGGGGUAAAGGCUCACCAAGCGAACGAUCUGUAGCUGGUCUGAGAGGACGACCAGCCACACUGGGAGUGAGAAACGGCCAAGACUCCUACGGGAGGAAGCAGUGGGGAAUUUUGGACAAUGGGCGCAAGCCUGAUCCAGCAAUGCCGCGUGGAGGAAGAAGGCCUUCGGGUUGUAAACUGCUUUUGUACGGAACGAAACGGCUCUGGUUAAUACCCGGGGAUAAUGACGGUACCGUAAGAAUAAGCACCGGCUAACUACGUG
rnacentral:rRNA from 1 species